GGAUUCAGGGAAUGAUUUCUUGAAUAGUGUAAUCUAACAACUAAAAAUGAUCAAAAGAAUAAAUCUAACUGUGGAACACUUGGUAGCACAAAGUGCUUGGUGUUAUUAAAAGCAUCCCAACCGAACUCUCUAUAUAAAUAUAUAGAGAGAGAGCAAGAGAGUUGAGAGAGAGAGAGUGUGUGUGUCCAGCUACUAUGUUAUCAAGAAUAACAAAACACUUGGUGCUAUCAAAUUUUUCUCUAUUAGAUCUACUCUUUUAACCAUUUUCGCCCGUUAAAUCAUAUUAUUCAACCAACCACCUAGU
rnacentral:lncRNA from 1 species